ACCACAGAAAACAGUCAAAAAAACAUUUCCACAUUUUGGUACUACUGAUAAUAACAACAGACGAUAAUUAGGGCACACGUGUUGCGUAAUGGUUAGGAGUCUUGAUCGGAAGAGAUGAAGAAAUGUUUCAUCCGAGUUCCCAAGCGGAUAACCAGCAGGAUCCAGGCACGUGGUGAAAACGGAAAUUUCAUGAAGGGGUGCUGAAUGUAGAGGAGGGAGAAUCCCGAAUCCCUUUUCUCCAUCGAGAGACACAGGAGUCUGGAAGGAGCCGCCAUGUCAAAUUGUCCACAACUGUGACACUGGACAGAUCCAGGACUGGAUUACUAGUAACCAACUGGCAAGAUGAACCGAAAAUGGUCUCCGAGGAACUAGGAACCGUUACAAACGAGGAGAUCCAUGCGGUAUUCCCAUCCCGUUUGGUUGUUAAUAUUUAAUUGAUCCCAGGAUCCCUUACA